GACAGAGGUGCCAAGCGUUAGGCGGAAUCACUGGGCUUAAAGCGUGUGUAGGCGGAUUCCUAAGUACCUUGUGAAAUCCCACGGCUCAACCGUGGAACUGCUCGGUAUACUGGGUAUCUUGAGCCACUUAGGGGCGACCGGAACAAAUGGUGGAGCGGUGAAAUGCGCAGAUAUCAGGAGGAACACCGGUGGCGAAGGCGGGUCUCUGGGCCGUUACUGACGCUGAGGAGCGAAAGCGUGGGGAGCGAACAGG
rnacentral:rRNA from 1 species